GCCUAAGCUCUGGGGUAGAGCAUCCCGAUUGAAUCGGGAGGGUCGUGAGUUCGAUUCUCACUGAUGGCUCAA
rnacentral:tRNA from 1 species